rnacentral:tRNA from 1 species
ACCCAGAAGAAUUCACAAGGAUGAACACUAUGA